rnacentral:rRNA from 1 species
CCUACGGGAGGCAGCAGUGGGGAAUAUUGCACAAUGGGCGGAAGCCUGACGCAGCGACGCCGCAUGAGGGAUGACGGCCUUCGGGUUGUAAACCUCUUUCAGCAGGGACGAAGCGAGAGUGACGGUACCUGCAGAAGAAGCACCGGCCAACUACGUGCCAGCAGCCGCGGUAAGACAUAGGGUGCGAGCGUUGUCCGGAUUUGUUGGGCGUAAAGAGCUCGUAGGCGGCUUGUCGCGUCGACUGUGAAAUCCCGCGGCUCAACCGCGGGCUAGCAGCCGAUACGGGCAGGCUAGAGUUCGGUAGGAGAGACUGGAAUUCCUGGUGUAGCGGUGAAAUGCGCAGAUAUCAGGAGGAACAACCGGUGGCGAAGGCGGGUCUCUGGGCCGAUACUGACGCUGAGGAGCGAAAGCGUGGGGAGCGAACAGGAUUAGAUACCCUGGUAGUCCACGCUGUAAACGUUGGGUGCUAGGUGUGGGGGACCUCUCCGGUUCUCUGUGCCGCAGCUAACGCAUUAAGCGCCCCGCCUGGGGAGUACGGCCGCAAGGCUAAAACUUAAAGGAAUUGACGG